UGGUUUCAUGAACAGCUAGAGAACUUCUUGGAUGAUGAUUAUCUUGUGUUUGAUUGCCCUAAUAUAUUCUCAAAUCAUCUUUUCAUGCUUUAGUUGUUUCUUAAUAGUUGCACAGUUUCAUCUCACUCAUAUUCUUGCCACUUACAUGUAUGUGACAAAACAGACAAUCCGUCUUUUUUAUUGCUUUUGGCGUUGUGCAUUAUACAUGUCCACCAAUUAUAUACAAAUACCAUUUGUGGGUUACCUCUGGUGUGUUUAGGUGCGAGCUACAAUCAAAGUUAAGGCAUUAGUCAUCAUUUGCUUCACCUCUUCUGGAUAGGCUGCAAGGGUGUUAUGGACAAAGAAAGCUUGUACAUUAAAACAGGAGGACACAAGAAGCUGGAGUGGUUGUCUGAAGGCUUUUGAACUGCUUGAAGCAUUAGUGUAGCUUUGGUGAUUUUGUGACUGAUCAGCUCUGGAGCAGCUAGAGUGAUGUAGUUGUGGGCUUUUGAACUGCUUCAAGCUAGAGUGAUGUCGCUGUGGUGCUUUUGUGACUGAUCAUCUCUGCAGCUUUUGGAAUGAUCUAACUAGCUAUCUGUAAAUGAUCUAGUUGUGAAUGAUAUUAUAAUUGUGAUGCUUUUGUGAAUAUAUAAUUGUGGUGCUUUUGUGUUUA